rnacentral:lncRNA from 1 species
ACUAAGUUGAUCAACUGGUAGUAGGCUUCACACAACUACCUGUACGUAGUUGUCUAUCACUCCCGGAUAAAGAACCGAUAGUGAAAUAACCCUCACUCCCAGUUUAUGUCACCAGACGGGCUAACUAAGUAGCCAUUUUUUUGGCCACUGUAAGGUAAUAACCAUUUCGCAUGAUACUUUCUGACCAAUAUAUACCAUGCCACCCUUUCUUCCUAAGAGAAUACCACAACCAAUCAUCAUCACCCACAAAGAACUUUGACUCUGUGCUCAAGGUAGCUACCAAAUGUCCGGGUAGGUUUGGUCAAGUAUCUAUGAAGAAGAAGAAUGCAAGCAUCCAAACUGAAGGAACUGAGAGGCAUCGGGGAAAUAAAUUGACACUGUCCUGUCCUUCCAUCCUAGAAUGGGCCGAAGAGACGGUCAAAAUGGCUCAGAUCGUCGGCUAGCAGAACUGACUGGCAAAAGUUUGUAUUGUAUGGAGCUGAUUGUCAUGUUGUUGUUAGCUAGGCGGGCCGAUCAUGUCGGCACAAGGGGCUUCAAGUGGUUUAUUUCAGUGUUUUCCAUUGGUCCGAGCUUUCACAUAUUUCACACCAGCUACCGAUGUUUCAGCCACUAGUUAGCUUGUAGAAAACAAUAUAUAGUGCUGUGCAGCCUAGUGGUUACAGUCACUUAGU